UGGCGGACGGGUGAGUAAUGUCUGGGAAACUGCCCGAUGGAGGGGGAUAACUACUGGAAACGGUAGCUAAUACCGCAUAACGUCGCAAGACCAAAGAGGGGGACCUUCGGGCCUCUUGCAAUCAGAUGUGCCCAGAUGGGAUUAGCUAGUAGGUGGGGUAACGGCUCACCUAGGCGACGAUCCCUAGCUGGUCUGAGAGGAUGACCAGCCACACUGGAACUGAGACACGGUCCAG
rnacentral:rRNA from 1 species